UACGAAGGGGGCUAGCGUUGCUCGGAAUCACUGGGCGUAAAGCGCACGUAGGCGGACUCUUAAGUCGGUGGUGAAAUCCUGGAGCUCAACUCCAGAACUGCCUUCGAUACUGGGAGUCUCGAGUCCGGGAGAGGUGAGUGGAACUGCGAGUGUAGAGGUGAAAUUCGUAGAUAUUCGCAAGAACACCAGUGGCGAAGGCGGCUCACUGGCCCGGUACUGACGCUGAGGUGCGAAAGCCAGGGGAGCGAACGGG
rnacentral:rRNA from 1 species